UGGGGAAUAUUGCACAAUGGGGAAAGCCCUGAUGCAGCGACGCCGCGUGAGCGAAGAAGUAUUUCGGUAUGUAAAGCUCUAUCAGCAGGGAAGAAAAUGACGGUACCUGACUAAGAAGCCCCGGCUAACUACGUGCCAGCAGCCGCGGUAAUACGUAGGGGGCAAGCGUUAUCCGGAUUUACUGGGUGUAAAGGGAGCGUAGACGGAUCUGCAAGUCUGGAGUGAAAGCCCGGGGCUCAACCCCGGGACUGCUUUGGAAACUGUGGAUCUAGAGUGCCGGAGAGGUAAGCGGAAUUCCUAGUGUAGCGGUGAAAUGCGUAGAUAUUAGGAGGAACACCAGUGGCGAAGGCGGCUUACUGGACGGUAACUGACGUUGAGGCUCGAAAGCGUGGGGAGCAAACAGGAUUAGAUACCC
rnacentral:rRNA from 1 species